rnacentral:tRNA from 1 species
GGAAGUGCUUAGUUCUCUGGUGGGGCUCCUGGACUUCAAAUCCAGUGGCGGGCGCUGGAAACGUCCGCGGUGGGUUCGAUUCCCAUGCACUUCCGCCA